rnacentral:rRNA from 1 species
GAUGAACGCUGGCGGCGUGCCUAAUACAUGCAAGUCGAGCGAACGGACGAGAAGCUUGCUUUUCUGAUGUUAGCGGCGGACGGGUGAGUAACACGUGGAUAACCUACCUAUAAGACUGGGAUAACUUCGGGAAACCGGAGCUAAUACCGGAUAAUAUUUUGAACCGCAUGGUUCAAAAGUGAAAGACGGUCUUGCUGUCACUUAUAGAUGGAUCCGCGCUGCAUUAGCUAGUUGGUAAGGUAACGGCUUACCAAGGCAACGAUGCAUAGCCGACCUGAGAGGGUGGUCGGCCACACUGGAACUGAGACACGGUCCAGCCUCCUACGGGAGGCAGCAGUAGGGAAGCUUCCGCAAUGGUCGAAAGCCUGACGGAGCAACGCCGCGUGAGUGAUGAAGGUCUUCGGAUCGUAAAACUCUGUUAUUAGGGAAGAACAUAUGUGUAAGUAACUGUGGACAUCUUGACGGUACCUAAUCAGAAAGCCACGGCUAACUACGUG